rnacentral:tRNA from 1 species
GCCGAGGUGGCGAAACUGGCAGACGCACGAGACUUAAAAUCUCGUGACCCUUCGGGUCGUGCGGGUUCGAGCCCCGCCCUCGGCA